AGGUGCGAUCAUACCAGCACUAAUGCACCGGAUCCGGCGAGACUAGUACUAGGAUGGGUGACCUCCGGGAAGUCCUCGUGUUGCUUUUU
rnacentral:rRNA from 2 species